GAAGGAAUAAAAAAGGGUGAAAGUUAUUUGAGGGGGAAAGUCAUGAUAACUAAUCAUCUCACAAUGCACCACCACUUUCAGCGUGAAAGAGGGAAAUUGGCAAAAGAAAACCAUAUAUUUUGUUAUGACCAAUGAACCGGAUUCCAUUCACUAUAAAAUCCCCUUCUUCAAAAUACUCUCUCUCUCUCACUAAUAAAGGUAUGCCACUUCAUCCACAUGUAAGAGACAUAUAUUUUUUCCCAAUAUAACUCUCUCUUUCCAUUUUGCAACGGAGAACUUAACCCAUAUACUCUCAGUUUCAACAGAAAGAAAAAAAAUCUUAUUCCUAAAUAACCUUCCAUUACCACCAAUACUUCCUCUCUUUCAACUUUUUCUACAGAUUUAACUUUUUCCCAUCUAGAUCUCUCUACCUCCUCUCAACUUUUUUCAUUCUCUUCUCAUCAACAACAACACUUUUAACACUACCUCAUCAUCUCAUCACCCUUCUUGCAUCAAUUCCCUUCCUCACAUCAACAAAAUUCAGAAAAUCCAUUUCCUCUCCCUCACUACAAUGUAACAAUUUACACUCAAACAACAACCCCUUAAAACCUCCUUUCUUUACCGGCGACAGAAGCUUCACCACUAGACCACCAACUUCGAACUACCGCAAAAAACCAUUCUUCUUCUUCCUCUUCCAAUGGAACCGCCACCCAUACAUAAAAAAUCGGUACCACGAAACAGCCUCACCACCUUAAGAAAUCAAUUUCACUCUUAAACCCUCCCUCUAAAUUCAAUGAUCCAAACAUAAACCGUCAUGACGUUCAAAUUGUUUCCUCAUUAACCGGUCCGCUCGGCUACAACUCCCACAUCUGUCACGAACUGUAAUUAUGUGCUCCAUCUCUCUAAAAUGCUACUGCUUCAACAAACAACAUCGGUGGCUAUUUGCUCUACAAUUCUGUCAAAGCUUCGAGCAAUAACACAAUAAUAAUAACUUAGUGUCAAUUGGUUCUGUUUUCUAUUAUGAUAUUGUUCUAAUUGUUGAUUGAUUCUUGUAUCUCUUUUACGUAUUUGGAUGAUGUUUGUGUAUUCGAUUGCAUGCACGUUUGAUUUGGGCAUAGUGGUGUUAUAUUCAGUAUAGUGAUAAUGUUCAUACUGUUUUCGUUAAUGGUACUGUUGUUUUAAGAAAAACGAUUUGAAUAGAAUAGAAAGAGUGAGGGAACGAGCUUGGUAGAUAAUAUUUUUUUCUUCUGUUUUCAACUCUUGAAACGUAGGGAGAAGAACUUUUUUUUGUAUAAACGGGGACACGUGUUGGUUAAUAGUUGGUUAGAUUUCACUUGUCACCUUUUUGUUGACUCAAAUUUGCUGAAAUAGAGUGUUGCCUUAAUUUUUUCGAUUUCAUAUGUUUAUUUGUGUUUAUCUUUUUCUUUUUAAAUUUAAAUUUAAUUUGUUCAGUGUUAUUUUCAAUCUUUUUAUAUGUUAUUGUUUUAAGGUGAAUUUAGGUCAAUGUUGGGUUUGUUGUUGGCUAGAGAAUUCAAAAUCCGUUUUAUUAUCAUUUACUUGUUAUAUUUUUAUUUUAUUUUAAAUUUUGUUUUCGUUAUUAUUAUAAAAUGAAUUUAGAUGAAGUAGUGGGAUCUUGUUAUAUAUUUAGGUCCAUAUUUAUUUUCCACAACCCCAUGUUCAUUGGUACAUUCUUUUGUUUAUUUUUAUUAUUUGGAUUUGAUUA
rnacentral:lncRNA from 1 species